UACCAGCACCCCGAGUGGUCGGGACGAUUAUUAGGCCUAAAGCAUCCGUAGCCGGUUUUACAAGUCCUCCGUUAAAUCCAGCUGCUUAACAGAUGGGCUGCGGAGGAUACUAUAAGACUAGGAGGCAGGAGAGGCAAGCGGUACUCAGUGGGUAGGGGUAAAAUCCGUUGAUCCAUAGAAGACCACCAGUGGCGAAGGCGGCUUGCCAGAACGCGCUCGACGGUGAGGGAUGGAAAGCUGGGGGGAGCAAACCGG
rnacentral:rRNA from 1 species